rnacentral:rRNA from 1 species
GACGAACGCUGGCGGCGUGCUUAACACAUGCAAGUCGAACGGUGAAGCUCCAGCUUGCUGGAGUGGAUCAGUGGCGAACGGGUGAGUAACACGUGAGCAACCUGCCCCUGACUCUGGAAUAAGCGCUGGAAACGGCGUCUAAUACUGGAUACGAGAAGGGUCCGCAUGGGCACUUUCUGGAAAGUUUUUCGGUUGGGGAUGGGCUCGCGGCCUAUCAGCUUGUUGGUGAGGUAAUGGCUCACCAAGGCGACGACGGGUAGCCGGCCUGAGAGGGCGACCGGCCACACUGGGACUGAGACACGGCCCAGACUCCUACGGGAGGCAGCAGUGGGGAAUAUUGCACAAUGGGCGAAAGCCUGAUGCAGCGACGCCGCGUGAGGGAUGACGGCCUUCGGGUUGUAAACCUCUUUCAGCAGGGAAGAAGCGAAAGUGACGGUAACUGGAGAAGAAGCACCGGCUAACUACGUG